rnacentral:rRNA from 1 species
AUUGAACGCUGGCGGCAUGCUUUACACAUGCAAGUCGAACGGUAACAGGCCGCAAGGUGCCGACGAGUGGCGAACGGGUGAGUAAUGCAUCGGAACGUGCCCAGUCGUGGGGGAUAACUACUCGAAAGAGUAGCUAAUACCGCAUACGAUCUAUGGAUGAAAGCGGGGGACCGUACGGCCUCGCGCGAUUGGAGCGGCCGAUGUCAGAUUAGGUAGUUGGUGGGGUAAAGGCUCACCAAGCCAACGAUCUGUAGCUGGUCUGAGAGGACGACCAGCCACACUGGGACUGAGACACGGCCCAGACUCCUACGGGAGGCAGCAGUGGGGAAUUUUGGACAAUGGGCGCAAGCCUGAUCCAGCAAUGCCGCGUGCAGGAAGAAGGCCUUCGGGUUGUAAACUGCUUUUGUACGGAACGAAACGGCUCUGGUUAAUACCCGGGGCUAAUGACGGUACCGUAAGAAUAAGCACCGGCUAACUACGUG